rnacentral:lncRNA from 1 species
UCUAUCUGAAAAAGUCAUGUCCUUUUAUCUCUUUGUCUGAAAGCUGACAAAUUCCUUGAAAAGUAAAGAGUUGCACCUAUUAGGACUAGACACAUCAUUUAUUUUAAAAGUCCAAAAAUUACAACGGUUGGUUUCCUUAAAUACAAAAUCAAAUCUUUUCUUUCUCAUUCAUUUUUUCAAAACUUGUUCUCAAUCCUUUCCUUUCAAAACUUGUCCUCUCUAUAAUCGGCCUUCUUGUUCUUUUUCAUUCACUUAAAAAGCUUCCAAAUGGUAGAAAAUCCUUCCCUCUCAAGCUUGACAAAAGACUCAAAAAAUACUCAAAACCCAUCACUCUAGUUAGAAAAUCCCAUCACUAAAAUUCCUGUUCCAUCAAUGUAUAAAAUUGCAGAGGGUACCUCUUCAAAAUCUCCUUAAUAAUAUGAGUUUAUUCCACCCUUUACACCCCUCCCCCCC